GAGUGGCGGACGGGUGAGUAACACGUGGGUAACCUGCCCAGAAGCAGGGGAUAACACCUGGAAACAGAUGCUAAUACCGUAUAACAGAGAAAACCGCCUGGUUUUCUUUUAAAAGAUGGCUCUGCUAUCACUUCUGGAUGGACCCGCGGCGCAUUAGCUAGUUGGUGAGGUAACGGCUCACCAAGGCGAUGAUGCGUAGCCGACCUGAGAGGGUAAUCGGCCACAUUGGGACUGAGACACGGCCCAGACUCCUACGGGAGGCAGCAGUAGGGAAUCUUCCACAAUGGACGCAAGUCUGAUGGAGCAACGCCGCGUGAGUGAAGAAGGGUUUCGGCUCGUAAAGCUCUGUUGUUAAAGAAGAACGUGGGUGAGAGUAACUGUUCACCCAGUGACGGUAUUUAACCAGAAAGCCACGGCUAACUACGUGCCAGCAGCCGCGGUAAUACGUAGGUGGCAAGCGUUAUCCGGAUUUAUUGGGCGUAAAGCGAGCGCAGGCGGUCUUUUAAGUCUAAUGUGAAAGCCUUCGGCUCAACCGAAGAAGUGCAUUGGAAACUGGGAGACUUGAGUGCAGAAGAGGACAGUGGAACUCCAUGUGUAGCGGUGAAAUGCGUAGAUAUAUGGAAGAACACCAGUGGCGAAGGCGGCUGUCUGGUCUGUAACUGACGCUGAGGCUCGAAAGCAUGGGUAGCGAACAGGAUUAGAUACCCUGGUAGUCCAUGCCGUAAACGAUGAUUACUAAGUGUUGGAGGGUUUCCGCCCUUCAGUGCUGCAGCUAACGCAUUAAGUAAUCCGCCUGGGGAGUACGACCGCAAGGUUGAAACUCAAAAGAAUUGACGGGGGCCCGCACAAGCGGUGGAGCAUGUGGUUUAAUUCGAAGCUACGCGAAGAACCUUACCAGGUCUUGACAUCUUCUGCCAACCUAAGAGAUUAGGCGUUCCCUUCGGGGACAGAAUGACAGGUGGUGCAUGGUUGUCGUCAGCUCGUGUCGUGAGAUGUUGGGUUAAGUCCCGCAACGAGCGCAACCCUUAUUACUAGUUGCCAGCAUUCAGUUGGGCACUCUAGUGAGACUGCCGGUGACAAACCGGAGGAAGGUGGGGACGACGUCAAAUCAUCAUGCCCCUUAUGACCUGGGCUACACACGUGCUACAAUGGAUGGUACAACGAGUCGCGAAACCGCGAGGUUUAGCUAAUCUCUUAAAACCAUUCUCAGUUCGGACUGUAGGCUGCAACUCGCCUACACGAAGUCGGAAUCGCUAGUAAUCGCGGAUCAGCAUGCCGCGGUGAAUACGUUCCCGGGCCUUGUACACACCGCCCGUCACACCAUGAGAGUUUGUAACACCCAAAGCCGGUGGGGUAACCUUUUAGGA
rnacentral:rRNA from 1 species